rnacentral:snRNA from 1 species
GUGUUUGCUUCAGCAGCACAUAUACUAAAAUUGAAACCAUACAGAGAUUAGCAUGGCUCCUGAGCAAGGAUGACGAGAAAAUUCAUGAAGAAUUUCACAUAUCU